AAACAUCGCCUCUUGAUAAAAGAUAAGAGGUCCAGCCUGCCCAGUGAUAUAAUUCAACGGCCGCGGUACCCUAACCGUGCGAAGGUAGCAUAAUCACUUGUUCUUUAAAUGGGGACUCGUAUCAAUGGCACCACGAGGGCUAUACUGUCUCCUUUCUCUAAUCAGUGAAACUGAUCUUCCCGUGAAGAAGCGGGAAUUAAACUAUAAGACGAGAAGACCCCAUGGAGCUUUAAACUCACUAUACACCUCUGCACCCUUUAAAUCAACCCACCCAAGAGUACUGUAUACUAGUUUUAGGCUGGGGGGGCCACGGAGUACAAUUUAACCUCCACAACAAAUGGGCUAACACCCUUAUCUACGAGAAACAUCUCUAAGAAUUAUUAUAAUAAUGUUAAAGACCCGAUAAUUCGAUUAAUGAACCAAGUUACCCUGGGGAUAACAGCGCAAUCUACUUCGAGAGUUCCUAUCGACAAGUAGGUUUACGACCUCGAUGUUGGAUCAGGGUAUCCCAGUGGUGCAACCGCUACUGAUGGUUCGUUUGUUCAACGAUUAAAACCCUACGUGAUCUGA
rnacentral:rRNA from 1 species